UACGUAGGGGGCUAGCGUUGUCCGGAAUCAUUGGGCGUAAAGCGCGUGUAGGCGGUCCGGUAAGUCCGCUGUGAAAGUCGGGGGCUCAACCCUCGAAUGCCGGUGGAUACUGUCGGGCUAGAGUGCGGAAGAGGCGAGUGGAAUUCCUGGUGUAGCGGUGAAGUGCGCAGAUAUCAGGAGGAACACCAAUUGCGAAGGCAGCUCGCUGGGACGUAACUGACGCUGAGACGCGAAAGCGUGGGGAGCAAACAGG
rnacentral:rRNA from 1 species